GAUGAACGCUGGCGGCGUGCCUAAUACAUGCAAGUCGAGCGAACGGACGAGAAGCUUGCUUCUCUGAUGUUAGCGGCGGACGGGUGAGUAACACGUGGAUAACCUACCUAUAAGACUGGGAUAACUUCGGGAAACCGGAGCUAAUACCGGAUAAUAUUUUAAACCGCAUGGUUCAAAAGUGAAAGACGGUCUUGCUGUCACUUAUAGAUGGAUCCGCGCUGCAUUAGCUAGUUGGUAAGGUAACGGCUUACCAAGGCAACGAUGCAUAGCCGACCUGAGAGGGUGAUCGGCCACACUGGAACUGAGACACGGUCCAGACUCCUACGGGAGGCAGCAGUAGGGAAUCUUCCGCAAUGGGCGAAAGCCUGACGGAGCGACGCCGCGUGAGUGAUGAAGGUCUUCGGAUCGUAAAACUCUGUUAUUAGGGAAGAACAUAUGUGUAAGUAACUGUGCACAUCUUGACGGUACCUAAUCAGAAAGCCACGGCUAACUACGUG
rnacentral:rRNA from 1 species